GGCGUGUUAGCAAAGCGGUUAUGCACUGGAUUGCAAAUCCAUGUAGAUCGGUUCGACUCCGGUACACGCCUCCAUUA
rnacentral:tRNA from 1 species